rnacentral:rRNA from 1 species
GACGAACGCUGGCGGCGUGCUUAACACAUGCAAGUCGAACGAUGAAGCCGGAGCUUGCUCUGGUGAAUUAGUGGCGAACGGGUGAGUAACACGUGAGUAACCUGCCCUUGACUCUGGGAUAACUGCGGGAAACUGUAGCUAAUACCGGAUACGACCCUCGGAGGCAUCUCCUGGGGGUGGAAAGAAUUUCGGUCAAGGAUGGACUCGCGGCCUAUCAGCUAGUUGGUGAGGUAAAGGCUCACCAAGGCGACGACGGGCGGCCGGCCUGAGAGGGUGACCGGCCACACUGGGAAUGAGACAGGGCCCAGACUCCUACGGGAGGCAGCAGUGGGGAAUAUUGCACACUGGGCGCAAGCCUGAUGCAGCAACGCCGCGUGAGGGAUGACGGCCUUCGGGUUGUAAACCUCUUUUAGCAGGGAAGAAGCGAAAGUGACGGUACCUGCAGAAAAAGCACCGGCUAACUACGUGCCAGCAGCCGCGGUAA